rnacentral:rRNA from 1 species
AGUGAACGCUGGCGGUAGGCCUAACACAUGCAAGUCGAACGGCAGCACAGGAGAGCUUGCUCUCUGGGUGGCGAGUGGCGGACGGGUGAGGAAUACAUCGGAAUCUACUUUUUCGUGGGGGAUAACGUAGGGAAACUUACGCUAAUACCGCAUACGACCUACGGGUGAAAGCAGGGGAUCUUCGGACCUUGCGCGAUUGAAUGAGCCGAUGUCGGAUUAGCUAGUUGGCGGGGUAAAGGCCCACCAAGGCGACGAUCCGUAGCUGGUCUGAGAGCAUGGUCAGCCACACUGGAACUGAGACACGGUCCAGACUCCUACGGGAGGCAGCAGUGGGGAAUAUUGGACAAUGGGCGCAAGCCUGAUCCAGCCAUACCGCGUGGGUGAAGAAGGCCUUCGGGUUGUAAAGCCCUUUUGUUGGGAAAGAAAUCCAGCUGGUUAAUACCCGGUUGGGAUGACGGUACCCAAAGAAUAAGCACCGGCUAACUUCGUGCCAGCCGCCGCAGUAA